ACCAAUCCCAAGUUCCUAAUUUUGUUUCAGUAAGUGUUGUCAUUCAUCUAUAAACAAUGCUUCUGCAAUAGCUUUCCCCACUAAUAUUCCUUUUCAACAGAACCCUUCUAGAAAAGGCCUCAUCUUUUUUACUUAAGACCCCAAUAAAUUCACUACCCAUAUGUCAAAAUCACUGCUUUUUCCUCAUCAAAGUUUGAUGAAUGGCCUUGACUGAUUGAAUUGGAGGAACGUGAACAAAAAUGGCCAGAUAUGAAGUAAGUUUUAAUGUGUAGGAAAGUGGUGGAAGCAGCUGUUAGAUGAAUGUUUUGUUAUCCAAACAAGUCAGCAAUGGAUCGAUCUUGUCAUGCCUGCCAUAUGCUCUGAUCACAUAGCUUUUCAGUGUUUACUAGAUUUCCAACCCAGUUUCUGUGGAGUGAAAGGGAAGGAAAAGACCAAUGGGAUCCACCAUAGCAGUAAGAUGGUUGCAGAAUUUAAUGCUGCCAACCCAACUUGUUCCGGCUUAUAUUUCUCUUUGUACCACCACUUAAUUACCUGAAAGUGUCCACUCCACUGCCCAUUCAAAUUUUCUCAUCUUAAAAUAUAAGUACAGCGUAGUUCUUUUCUUGAAUUUUGAUGUUACAUGUCACGAGGGUCUUGUCCAUAACUCUAUAUUUGUCACUUAAGCAGGAUCUCAUUAGUUUUUCCAGCAGGGAUUCUUCAUUUGUUCAAUAAUUUGUGAGAUUUUAAAUAUUAGUUAACAACCCACUUAAGAAUUUGAUUAUGUAA